rnacentral:rRNA from 1 species
AUUGAACGCUGGCGGCAGGCCUAACACAUGCAAGUCGAGCGGAUGAAGGGAGCUUGCUCCUGGAUUCAGCGGCGGACGGGUGAGUAAUGCCCAGGAAUCUGCCUGGUAGUGGGGGAUAACGUCCGUUAACGGGCGCUAAUACCGCAUACGUCCUGAGGGAGAAAGUGGGGGAUCUUCGGACCUCACCCUAUCAGAUGAGCCUAGGUCGGAUUAGCUAGUUGGUGGGGUAAAGGCCUACCAAGGCGACGAUCCGUAACUGGUCUGAGAGGAUGAUCAGUCACACUGGAACUGAGACACGGUCCAGACUCCUACGGGAGGCAGCAGUGGGGAAUAUUGGACAAUGGGCGAAAGCCUGAUCCAGCCAUGCCGCGUGUGUGAAGAAGGUCUUCGGAUUGUAAAGCACUUUAAGUUGGGAGGAAGGGCAGUAAGUUAAUACCUUGCUGUUUUGACGUUACCAACAGAAUAAGCACCGGCUAACUUCGUG